GUUGCCACUCAGAGGUUCGGCCAGUGGAGACAGGUGGAGGUGUUGUGGCACCUGGAGGCUCCCUCCGCCUCACCUGCAAGGCUUCUGGAUUCACCUUUGCUGACUAUGCAAUGCACUGGAUCCGCCAGGCUCCAGGGAAAGGGCUGGAGUGGGUAGCAGGAGUGAGCAGUCCUACGGGAAGCAAACAGUGGUACAACUCCAAGGUCGAGGGAAGGUUCUCCGUCUCCAGAGACAACGCGCAGACUUCAGCUCAUCUGCAGAUGAACGGCUUGAAGCCAGAAGAUUCUGCCUCGUAUUACUGUGCAAGAGGCACAUUGACAGCUUCUGGCUUCCUCUUUCUACAAAAACUGCAGACACCUUCUGGCACAGCAAUGAAGGUGCUGGAGAAAUACAGCUUGCCAGGACCACACAGACAAACAUGA